GAGUGAGGAACCAGCACGUGACACAGAAUUGAGCCUGCCUAAUAGACUAAUCAGCACUCUAAAAUGUUACAGAGUCAGGUAUUGGGCAGGGUGGUGCUUAAUCCCAGAGCUUGGCAGGCAGAGACAGUUCUCUGAUUUCAAGACCAGCCGAACUCACAGACUAAUCAACACUCUAAGAUGUUACAGCAGUGGGGAGAUGGGUCAAGAAUUGGAAUAUGGCACACACUCAUGUUUAAAAAUCAUGGAUCUUUUACUUCUUCCUGUAAGAGGGGAGGUGUGGACAAAGGGAUGCGGAAAGUAGAAAAGCUGAGACUCUUCAUGAGGAAGUGAUCCACAUGAUGAUGAUGAUGACGACGAUUUGUAAGCUGGAGGGAAACAAAAAGAAUGUGGUUGAUCUGAGGUGGACCCGCUUUUCUCCUAAGGACAGAUCCAAUGUAAGUGAUUGUUACCUGUGAUUAUGGAGACUGAGAAGUUUCAUCCUUUGCUCACUGUUGUCUGGAGGCCCCAGGAGAACCAACGGGUUAGUCCAAAAGACUGAGAACCUGGAUGGAAAGAAACCACAAGUAACCAGGACAGUGGCUUUGUCUUUCCCUGCGUGUGUGUUCUGUCCAGGCCAACAUUCAUGCAUCUCCAUGUUGCCCUUCUAGCUCCAGUCCUGCCCCACUGUGACCUGACCCCCACCCUUCUCCCAAAAAGAAGUGAAAAAGAAAAAAAAAAUGAAGGAGGAGGAAGAAGAGGCAAGCUCUCAGUGGCCUGCCCCUUAAACAGAAUAGAGUCCUUCCUCUCCUGCGCCUCUGCCAGAAGCCGUCAGCUGUGGAGAGCCCCUCUUCAUCAUCCUCAUCACACUUCUUAAUAGUUCCCUAUGGUAGCUUCCUGUCUAGGCUUUUGAUUUUUCUUUGGCUGGGAUGGAGAGGUAGGGGUCGUUACGGAAACCAUCUGUGUUCCUCCCUCUCAACUGCACAUCUGCAGUCAUUGGUAUCACAGCUAAAAUAGCCUCCUUGCUGAGAAGGUAAAAUCCACUAUCAUUAUUGAUGACUGUGACUUCCACUGAAAUUCAACAUCCUGGAUGGCCAAUUAUUCACUUAUUUCGAUCACUUGAAGGAUUUUAUGACUGACUGAAAAUAUUUUUUAAAGGCACUAGUAAUUUUUUGAUACUUUAAAAUUUUAUUUUAAGACUUUAUCAUCCUACAAAUGUGAAAAUUGGUCUAAACUUUUGGGCUGUUGUUUGAU